AGGAGAAGGCGGAUGGCUGACGGUAGGCCUGCGAUAUUCGCAAGCCAGCUGAGGAAAGUCCCCUCUCCGAGAGAAGGUGGGCUGCACUAGCAGCAGGGCGAGAGUCCUGGCAAGGGCACAGAAACGGCACAGCCUCGGGACAACGCGAUGAUUCCUUUGGGGAUGAGAUCUCCCGAGGAUUUGAUGAAACGGCGACUCCCCACCGGAGCAAGCUCAAACGGCCGGAACGAUUUCUCAUCGUCGGCGGGUAGAGCGCAUAGUCGAAUGCCAUCAACCUCGCAAGAGGUGAACAGAAAGGGGCUUAUGUCCUUCACCU
rnacentral:RNase_P_RNA from 1 species